UGGGAAGGGGCUUGCUCCCGAUAGCCGUGUGCCAGUUUCAGAUGUUGUGCCUGACACGCCACAAUCGGGAGCAAGCCCCUCCCAC
rnacentral:antisense_RNA from 2 species